rnacentral:lncRNA from 1 species
UUUUAUUUUCAGGCAUUUUACUCGGGGGGAGAAAAUGUUAGAAUCAAUAAAUGACAAAGGGGGAGAUUGUUAGAAUCUAAUUGGAUUCUAAUAAACAAGGGAUGAGUAAAGACUUGUGCAACAAGUCAUGUGUACCGUGAAACACAAAAGGGAAGUCUCCUUGUUUACUUAAAUUCUUUAAUUUGUCAUUAAUUGUUUCUUUUAUAUAGGAAACUAUUUUAUUAAUCAAAAAGAGUUUAUGUGCAUCAAAACUAUCCAAUAGUC